AUUGAACGCUGGCGGCAGGCUUAACACAUGCAAGUCGAGCGGGGUGAUGGUGCUUCCACUAUCACUUAGCGGCGGACGGGUGAGUAAUGCUUAGAAAUCUGUCUAUUAGUGGGGGACAACAUCUCGAAAGGGAUGCUACUACUGCAUACGUCCUACGGGAGACAGCAGGGGAACACUUGUGACCUUGCGCUAAUAGAUGAGCCUAAGUCGGAUUAGCUAGUUGGUGGGGUAAAGGCCUACCAAGGCGACGAUCUGUAGCGGGUCUGAGAGGAUGAUCCGCCACACUGGGACUGAGACACGGCCCAGACUCCUACGGGAGGCAGCAGUAGGGAAUAUUGGACAAUGGGGGGAACCCUGAUCCAGCCAUGCCGCGUGUGUGAAGAAGGCCUUAUGGUUGUAAAGCACUUUAAGCGAGGAGGAGGCUCUUUUGGUUAAUACCCAAGAUGAGUGGACGUUACUCGCAGAAUAAGCACCGGCUAACUCUGUGCCAGCCGCCGCCGUAA
rnacentral:rRNA from 1 species